rnacentral:rRNA from 1 species
AGAGUUUGAUCCUGGCUCAGGAUGAACGCUAGCUACAGGCUUAACACAUGCAAGUCGAGGGGCAGCAUGGUCUUAGCUUGCUAAGGCUGAUGGCGACCGGCGCACGGGUGAGUAACACGUAUCCAACCUGCCGUCUACUCUUGGACAGCCUUCUGAAAGGAAGAUUAAUACAAGAUGGCAUCAUGAGUCCGCAUGUUCACAUGAUUAAAGGUAUUCCGGUAGACGAUGGGGAUGCGUUCCAUUAGAUAGUAGGCGGGGUAACGGCCCACCUAGUCUUCGAUGGAUAGGGGUUCUGAGAGGAAGGUCCCCCACAUUGGAACUGAGACACGGUCCAAACUCCUACGGGAGGCAGCAGUGAGGAAUAUUGGUCAAUGGACGAGAGUCUGAACCAGCCAAGUAGCGUGCAGGAUGACGGCCCUAUGGGUUGUAAACUGCUUUUGCGCGGGGAUAACACCCUCCACGUGCUGGAGGUCUGCAGGUACCGCGCGAAUAAGGACCGGCUAAUUCCGUGCCAGCAGCCGCGGUAAUACGGAAGGUCCGGGCGUUAUCCGGAUUUAUUGGGUUUAAAGGGAGCGUAGGCCGUGAGGUAAGCGUGUUGUGAAAUGUAGGCGCCCAACGUCUGCACUGCAGCGCGAACUGCCCCACUUGAGUGCGCGCAACGCCGGCGGAACUCGUCGUGUAGCGGUGAAAUGCUUAGAUAUGACGAAGAACCCCGAUUGCGAAGGCAGCUGGCGGGAGCGUAACUGACGCUGAAGCUCGAAAGCGCGGGUAUCGAACAGGAUUAGAUACCCUGGUAGUCCGCGCGGUAAACGAUGGAUGCCCGCUGUGGCGCGCCUGGCGUGCCGCGGCUAAGCGAAAGCAUUAAGCAUCCCACCUGGGGAGUACGCCGGCAACGGUGAAACUCAAAGGAAUUGACGGGGGCCCG